GCGUCCGUAGCUCAGCUGGAUAGAGUACCUGGCUACGAACCCAGGCGGUCAGAGGUCGAUCCUCUCGGACCGCGCCA
rnacentral:tRNA from 2 species